ACCUUUGCUCCAGAUGCCAACUAUUUGAAAAUAUUUUAACAGAAACUGCUCCUGUUAUUUAUUUUAUUUAUAGAGUAAGACACUGAAAGGAUCUAUACAUUUUUUCUGUUGUUCAUAGGAUCCUUGAGGAAGGAACCAAAGGAGCGUGAGGAAGUUGUCUUGUCCUGGGUGGUGCCUCAAAGGCCUUUCUCACCUGCCUGAGUUCAGGGCUCCGGUAGGGUAAGGGCUGAGCAACAGCCAUUUCUAGGGGAUGCCACUGCAUUCCAGAGGAGGGUAGCUGGCAGAAGGGAGUGCCCAGUUUGUGGGAGCCUCGCCUGCCCCGCCCUGUUAGGCGAAUUAGUUCAUUAUCGAAAAGUGCUUGGGAAGCACAAAGGUCUGGAGAGCCUCCACGCGCUGCUGCGCAGGCCUGUGCGGGAGCCGGGAUCUCUGAGCCGCGGAGGCCCGUCUCAGAGCCUGCGGAUCCGGGACGGUUCUCUCCUGCUGUGGUGAGGUCCUUCCAGGGUGCGUCUAGGAUGCAGAGACAGCUCCAGAGAGUUCUUACCACGGCAUUCUAUCUCAAGACAGAAGUUAAGUGUAUUUUGUGAUAGGAUUUGUAAGACAUUUAGAUAAAUGAACCAACCAGAUUUUAAUUUUGUUUUCUUGCCUUAAUUUUUUUGGUGAUUUUUAAGCUUUACAUUCAUACAUAAACAAGAUCAUAUCACAUGUUCUCUUCUGUGACUUACAUUUUUUUAAUUGAACAAUGUUCCCUGGAGCUCCUUCUGUGUUAGUACACAGAGGCUUCCCCCAUUUUCUUUAACAGUUACAUUCCUUCCAGACUGUAUGACUGUAUUAACAGGUUUUUACCUACUGUUCUAACGAAGGACUCAUUGGUGGUUUGCCAUUUUUCACCAUUACAAACAAUACUACAGCAAACAUUCCUGUACACAAAUUUGUGUGCUUAUAAUAUAAAUAUUUCUGAAGGAUAUACUCCUGGAAGUGGGAUUUCUGGACCAAAUGGCAUGCACAUUUAAGUUUUUGGUAAAUACCACAGAUCUCUUAAAAAAUCUAACUUAUCUAGCCACCAUUAUCCCCUUCAACACUGUACAUUAUCGAUUUUUUAAAAAAUUGCUAGCAUCAUGUGCAGAAAAAGCUGUAUCAUUUACAAUUGCGUUUCUCUGAUUUACCAGUUGAGAUGUAUAUCUUUUCAUAUGCCUAUUGGCUCUUUGGAUUUCUUUGAACAUUUUCCUUGAAGUAUAAAAAUACAGAAAAGGUACACAAGUCUUAAGACUACUGCUGAAUGAAUACAAGGUGAACACUUCUUGUAACCACCACCCAGGUCAAGAAAUAGAAUACUGUCCGACCUUUCCCCACCUCCCCAAAAGUUAUCACUAUCCUGACAUCUAGUUCCUAUGAAUUAGUCAUGCCUGUUUUUGAACUUCAUACAAAUGAAAUCAUACAACACGAACUCUUUUGCAUCUGGUUUCUUUCACUCAACAUUAAGUUUAUGAGUCAUUCAUGUACUUGUCUGUAGUUGUAAUAUAUUCAUUUACAUUGCUGAUUAUGUUUCAUUUUGUGAAUAUACCGCACUUUAUUUAAUAAUGAACAUUUGGAUUAUUUCCAACAUUUAGCCAUUAGCAAAUAAUGAUGCUAUGAACAUUCUUGGGCAUGUCUUUUAGAGUACAUGUGCAUACAUUUCUGUUGGGCAUAUGUCUAGGAAUGAAAUUUUGAAGUCAUGAGCAAUGUUCUUCAACCUGGCCCAUUAUAUUUGUGAAUUUCCUAUGAAAAUUCCUUGCACAUUAAUUAUUGGAUGGUUUGUGUUUAAUUACUGAUUAGUGUGUGUUCUAUUUAUUCUGGAUGUUAAUUCUGUAUUAUAUCUGUUGGAAAUAUUUUAACUAGUCUUUAUUUAUAUUGCCUUUUAUUUCACAAAGUUUAAAAUUUGGGGGCAAUAAAAUCUGUAAAUCUUUUUCUUUAUUUGAUUUAUUCCAUUUCUGGGUUUGAUGACUUGCUUAGAAAGUCCUUCCCUAUCUCUAUUUUGUAAAUAUUCUCUUAUGUUUCCUUUAAUAUUCAUUUUACUUUUAUUUUCACUUUAGGCUUUUUAAUCAGUCUGAAAUUUAUUAUGUGAGGGUGAGAGACAGAGGCUAAUUCAUUAGCCCUUAGGGGAUGAAUAAAAUUAUACUAGUUGCUGCCUUGAUUUUUUUAAUACUUAUUUUUAAAAAUCUCAAGACAGAUGAUAACAUCAAUGAGCUAAGAAACUGUCAAAAUUUUAUUAUUUUUAUUUAAACUUCAGAAUAGUCCCCCCUAAGUUAAACCUGAGUUAGAUUCUAAAUGGGGUAAGUUUUCUAAAUCAGUGCUUGCCACCCAAAAGGCCAUGCAUAUAAAUGGUCAAUAGUUAUUUAGUCAUUUACUAUGUAUUUAUGGAACUUUAAUGUGCAGCUCUCAUGGACUCAUGUGUCUAAUGAGGAAAAAGAGCCUAUUCUGGAAUCCUUAAGCGAGCUUGACUGCACCAUUGCAUCUGAGCUCUCCAGUCAGGAAAAUCACAGCUGCUUGCUCUUAAGGCCCCAGCUCCUCCCAAUCUGAGUCGAUGUCCCCAAAUGGAUUAUGUACUAAGUCUAUCCUCACUUAGACAAAAGUCCAGUUCGAACUUUAUAGCAAAUCCCCAGGGCCGGCUUUUGGUUAUAGACAUGAUUUCCUCAGGCAAGACUGCCCACUUAAGGAAAACUAUUUUCUUGGCAGGCUGGUGAUCAACGUAGGGUCACAUAUGGCAGAAGUAUGUCUGAACUCAGUCUGUUCUUCCCCUUUGUCUGAAAUGGAGCUGGCUUUUCGUGCCUGUUAAGCAUCAGUGCUCACUGAGGAAUACUUGUAUGCAGACUCUCCAGUCGCUCACAGCAUGAGGCAGUUUUGUUCUGCUCACCCCUCCUCUCUCCUUUUGCUUUACACAUUUUUGGGAAGGCCAGAUUACUUGCGAUUUAGUUAAUGUGUUAUGGGACUGGAGUCUGAGCUAGGGUGGAGGGAAGACACAUCCCUUUUAGAAUGACAAAGAGCAUGGUUUUUAGACUGGUGAGCCGCACGUGCAACUGUGAACUGUCUGGGCUGAUUUGCUUGGAAAUUGCUGUGCUGGCCAAGCUCCAGAAAUGUAAUCCACAGUGGCCUGAAAUCACAAGUUUUGCUGCUUGCAUUCUUAGUUUCACAAUUUAAGGAUUUGGCUGGUGCCUGUCCUGAAAGCAUGGGAUUUUCUACUGUUUGUGCACACAUGCCAUUGAGUGUGUGUGUGUGCUUGUGUGUGUGUGUGCAGUGCACACGGGCUUGUCUGCACAGGCAUAUUUUACAGCUGAACUCUUUAUACCUAUGGGGAGGCAGUAAUUAAGGAACACAGUAUAUGGCAGAUUUUCUUUGAUUUCAAGAAAAGCAUGUGUGGAUUUGUAGGUUACUGUUUUGGGAGAAAUGUGAUGGAGAAUCUUACGUGUAAGUGCAAUUGAUUCACUAGCUAAAAGACCUUGCCUCAAAAUAUCUGAGGAUAAUUUACUUAGGAGAAUUCAACAUGCCACUUUUUUUUUGAGGAACAGGUGUAAUGACCACAUUUGGGGGGAAGUGAAGACCUGAGCUUUGAGGAAGUCAAGCCUGAGGCCGUGAGCAGCAGUUAUUUAUAUCACUGUGAUGUGUAUUGAAAGCCUGUGACUUUCAUUCCACCACAGUCACGGAAGUAGUUUAGAGAAGAGGAUGGGCGUACAUUUUGCCUUGUUAAUCAUCUACCACACUAAGAGCUUCUGGUGUGGUUCAGAUUUCUGGUAAUCUGUACCCUGGCUCUACUGCCAACAAAAGGGUGCUUACUUGCUCUUCCUCAGCCUACUCUGUGGAGAAAAUGGCUCACUUCCGAAUGGUUGAUAGAUGUGUGAAAUCAUUCCUGCUUCCUUUCCCAAGAUGACCCCUGUGUGAGCAUCCUGGUGUGUGUGUUUGAGGGGAGGGAGGGAAUUUUCAUUGUCUCUAAGCUCAAAAUAAAGACACUGGACUCUAACAACCAACGAAAACAGAACAUUAGGAACUCUUGUGUUUGCUAUUAUAAUAAAUGAAGCCUCAUGUAACUAACUUCCAUUUUUCUCUCUUGAGUUGUAAAGCCACUCCCCACCCCCACCAACACCCACAGCCCCAGGCUCUUUUGGUUGUGGGAAAUGAGUAUGUUUGGGGACAAACAUGUCAGAAUUAUGAGGGAGAAACUUGGCAGGGAAACAAACUAUGCAAUAUGCUUGACAAGAAUUGAGAAACAAUACAUCUCAGAUUUUCUGAGAAUGUCUCAAUUUUUGGUUCAGAAAUAUGACCCAGAGGCUACAGAAAGGGAAUUACCGUUGCAGCUCCAUUCAGGACAUGAACAGGCAGUCUUAAAUGAGGAGCCAGCACCGGGUAUUUCAGCACAGAAAGAUGAGGUGUCUGUAGGUGAGGGACUUGGUCCUGCUUCCACCAGGGGUACGUGGAAAUUGAAAAGAGAGAACUUGUGGACUUUUGCUUUAAAUAAGAAAACCAGGAGGUAGAUGCCCACAAAGCAAAAUACCCAGAAUGGUAGAGCAGUAAGGAAAUGCUAGGUGGCGGGAAACACGAGCAUGUUUGCCUAAAUGUUGAGAUUUUUCUGGGCUCGCCUGAUCUCAGUCCUUUGGAGUUUUCCUUUUAUGAGGGUAAACAUGGUUUAAUAGUGAGCAAAUACUAGUUCAGAUAAUUAAAACCUGUUGAGUUGGACAGGAAACAUUCAAGGGAAAUAUGCAGGUGCCUGCAAGCAAGGGUGACACCAGGAGGGUCUCGGUAUGUCGGCUCCCUCUCCCCCAGGAGGAGCGUCCCUGGAAUGAAGCCACACACAGCUGGAGAGGAAACAGACGACUUGUAAAAAACAGGAGCAGGGUGGAAACGUUCUGAACGUAUUUAUACGCUGUGAGCCCUGGGGAGAGUGUAAGAGGCAUCUGGGGUAUUUGCAUUUUUGUUCGUUGGAGGGAGGAUGGUGUCUCCCAACUCUCUCUCUCAUUCAUUCAGGACAUGGGAUUUCCAAGACUGUUGCCAUCUUAGAGUUUGUGUUUUCAGCUUCACUCCAGGUGUCACCACACAUAUUAAAGAAAGAUAGUUCUAGGAUGACUUAAAACAGAGAAGCCAGCCUGAAGUUCAAUUUUGGACCAUAGAUGCAUUUUUCUUCCGGAGGGAGCCAUGUGAUUUCUCCCGUCCUCACCAUCCUGCAUUCUUUUCAUUCCAAGGCCUGGUCACAUCAGGACAGAAGCCCUCAUCCUCAGGCCCUUGUUGAUGAAUGGGAGGCAUGCCCUGCUUAAGUUUUUUCCAAACCAGAGCAGAGACUAAUGGGUAUGUAACUCACCAUAAUCCAUGGCAAGGGAAAACUUUUGGGUGUUUGAAUGAAGUGCCAUAUCUGGAAAUGCAGAAGAUAAUUGCUUUUAUUGAGUGCUUACUAUGUCCUUGAUAUUAAGAACAAUGUUUUGCCUAUAUUCUCUCUUAAUGUCAUCAGCUUUACAAGGUGCUGGAGCUACCUCAGGAGAGCCCAGAAAUACUCCACUGCCUGCCAGUGCUUCUCAAAAUGUGUUCUCAGCAUCCCAAUCAGAAAUGUCUAGGGAGCUGUUAAAAGGUACAGAUCAACUGAAUCAGAGUUUCCAGUGGUGGGGCCUAGGAAUCUGUGUCUCACAAGCAUUACUGGUGUUGGUAACCACACAGCCAAGUGGGAGAGAAACUGCGCUGACAUGUAUGCCUCUUCAGAGCAGGGAUCCUGUGGAAUUGCCCUCUGUUAGCCCCGGGGCACCUGGCACAGUGGUGUACAGCAGACAGAGGUGUUUGGUGAGUUCAAUGCAGAAAUGUAUUUCUUAGGAAGGAAGUGAGAGCAGGGGAGGUAGGAAAAGAGAGAUCAUGGGUGUGGAAGACAGGGUGGCUUGAGGGCUUUUGCAGGAGAUGGGAAAUCUCAGGCUGACUUGAGAUGCCCACUCUUGGGGUCCUUUGAGUGCUACCAAUAGAUAUUAAGGUGAUGUCUUUCCUUUUUUCUUUUUUUCCCCCACAGAUGUGUGCUUUAGUCCUGGGAAUUUUUUUUGAAACUUAAACUUUCAAUUCCAGAAUGAGUAAUUGUGUAUAAAGUGGGUCACAAGGAAGUGAUAACUAAUGCACAGACUAUUUUAACUGCUGAAUCAGAAAUCUCUGUGCUGCAUUUUGAAAUAUGCAGGAAGGAAAAUACGCAGAUGAUAGCAGUGGAAGGAAUCCUAAAAUAAUAUUUUCACAAACAAAUUCUGGCCCAACAUACCCCUUGGGGUUUGGGGUGCACCAAUGAUAACACACUCCUGAGAGGUGAAGAAUUGGAAUAAAACUGCCAAACCAGAAAUCUUUCCAAAGGAC